GUUCUUGGGACAUAUUGUCAGAAAUCACCUACUUCAUUUUCUUUCUUCAAACUGAUUAUUUCCCAACAUGAUGACAUGAAUUUAAUUCCAGCAGGGGAUGUUAUCAUAUUAAGUUUCUCUUCCAUUUAGUUAGACAACAAUUCUGCAACACAAGGUCAAAGUCAUUCAGCCUUAGCCAUUUUCCUGUGUUUGUAACAACUGCCUUUGUGCCCAGAUGGUCUGAGUCACGGCCUUUGUCAACACACAUGUGUCUUGCCAUUUCUUUUGGCUUUUUUCUUAAGAGUUGAAGUCACAAGUUGCAGAAAUUAAUCUCAUCCCUUCCACCAUGUGAGGACGCAGCAAGAAGACACCAUCUAUGAACCGGAAAAAAACAGGCCCUUACCAGGCACGAAAUCUGCCAGAGCCCUGAUCUUGGUCUCUCCAGUGUCCAGAGUUGUGAGGUCAAGAAUGAUGAGAAAUAAACUUCUGUUGCUUUUAACCAGUCGGUUUACAGUACUUUGUUACAGCAACCCAAAUGUACUAAGACACCCCUUUGUCUCCAGGGAACCUGUACUUUGAUUAAAUCUGGAUUUACUUGUAACAAAAUAAAGAAAUUCUCUUCGUUAGCAGUGUAAUUCUUCCCAAAGAAGAUUUUUUUUAAUUGGGAGAAUAUUUGUUUAACCAUUUGUGUGAGUAGGAAUGAGA
rnacentral:lncRNA from 1 species